rnacentral:rRNA from 1 species
AGUGAACGCUGGCGGUAGGCCUAACACAUGCAAGUCGAACGGCAGCACAGUAAGAGCUUGCUCUUACGGGUGGCGAGUGGCGGACGGGUGAGGAAUACAUCGGAAUCUACUUUUUCGUGGGGGAUAACGUAGGGAAACUUACGCUAAUACCGCAUACGACCUACGGGUGAAAGCAGGGGAUCUUCGGACCUUGCGCGAUUGAAUGAGCCGAUGUCGGAUUAGCUAGUUGGCGGGGUAAAGGCCCACCAAGGCGACGAUCCGUAGCUGGUCUGAGAGGAUGAUCAGCCACACUGGAACUGAGACACGGUCCAGACUCCUACGGGAGGCAGCAGUGGGGAAUAUUGGACAAUGGGCGCAAGCCUGAUCCAGCCAUACCGCGUGGGUGAAGAAGGCCUUCGGGUUGUAAAGCCCUUUUGUUGGGAAAGAAAAGCAGGUUAAUACCCCGCUGUUCUGACGGUACCCAAAGAAUAAGCACCGGCUAACUUCGUG